UAUCUCUCCGUACGGGGAAGGAUGAGAAGCUUCGACUAAGGUUCGAUUCGAGCGAAAGCGAGAAAGCGUUGCCGCAGGCAACGACCCGAAGGGCGAAGCGCGCAACGCUGAGUCAACCUUCCCCCACCACCA
rnacentral:sRNA from 1 species